AUGGAGCCCAAGAACACCACCGCAGCAUGGGCCCAACGCUUGAGCGGCAUGGAAGCUCGGCUGAUCCACGUAGAAGUUCUUCUCCUCUUGAGCACCUUCGCGUGGGUUCUCCUGGAGCUGUUCGGCUCAUUCCGGCGGCGGUACAAUCACGGGUUCUUCCGCCUCUUUGUCUGGACAGUGUACACACUGUCCACUGUGCUGGUGCCAUACACUAUCGGCCUGCUGCAGGCUGGUCCAUACCGCGACCAGACGUUCGUCCUCUGGGGCACCAUCCUCCUCCUCAUCCAAGUAAAUCCUGUCUCCCUCUCCACCUACAGUAUCCAGGAUAUUGAGCAUAGGAAAAGGAUCCUUGUGCAGCAAGCGUCGCAGAUCUUUCUGGUGCUAUGGCUGAUCAUCAAUGGUAGCGGUAGCAACAAGAGUUAUAGAGGUACCAUAUGGAUUUUCUAUAUUCAUAGCAUCAUUUUGACGUUCACCAAGUUUGGGAAUUUAAGUAAGUCGAGCAAUAAGGGGGGUUUGCUUGCGCAUUCUAAAGUGGUUGCUGAUUACAUGAUGAUUGAGCAUCAGCUAGCUCACGACGUCAUUAAUCCAGGCACGAUGGAGGGGUACAGGUACAUAGUAGACGGGGAAAAGGAAGUGGCUUCCCUGCUUCCAACUGCACCUGAGUACAGAGUUGGAUUAAACGAGGUGAUGAGCACUCACAGAUAUUUCACCAUUGAUUCUGCUUGGCAACGGAUCAACUCUCACAGCUUCAAGCAUAAGGAAUCUGUAGAUUUUUACAAGGAUACUGUGCUCUCCUUCACAUUAUUCAAACUGCUGAAACGGAGAUUCUGUGGCUAUCGGCUCGGUGAAGCUGGCCUUGAAAAGACACUGCAUCUUGUUCUUCAUGGGCUCCUCUCUGGGAAUGACAGGAGCUAUGUUCGUGCUUUUCGAGUUAUCGAAGUGGAGUUGUCAUUCCUGUAUGAUUACUUUUAUACAAUGGAAUUAUUCAGUGGGACUUGGUUCUGGUCAGGAAUUGUUAUAUCAACUGCUAUUGUUUGGAACAGCAUAUCCGGAGCAUUUAGCAGGCACUACCAUCAUAGCAAUUUGGAACAGAGAGUCAAUGGAACAGAUGUUAUUCGGUGGGUUACCAUAGCUUUGCUUGCCAAUUUUGUUUUGGUAUACAUUAUCAGGGUAUAUAUUAUGCCUAACAGGCUGGCAGUACUGGAAGAACUUUGUCACCACAUUACGUAUGAAUUUCCCAUAACUGAAGAAAGACCCGGAGCACAAGUUACAUGGGAAAGAAAGCUCAGACAGUACUCUCUACUACACGACUUCGACUACGAUCCGUGGAAUGUACUGUCUUUUCUGUCACUAGGCUUGAUCGAGGCUACAAGAAAAGGACAGAAGUCUGGGGAGAAGAUAAAACUGGCAGAUACAGUCAUCGUACGCGUCCUCUCUCAGUUCAAAGAAAACAACGGCAAGCUAGAGAAUGGCCAGUCAGCACUUGCUACAAAUCAGCUGGGAAGCCAAUUCUCAUGGGCCUGCACCUUGCCAACUCAUAUCCACACCAUCCUUGUAUGGCAUAUCGCCACAACCAUCUCCUGGAACGAGGUUCCGCUGGAGGGCAACGUGGACCUCCUUAUUGCCGUGAGCCUGUCGGAUUAUUGCGCCUACCUGGUAGCUUUUGUUCCAGACAUGCUGCCUAGCCAUAGCUACGACACACGGCGCAUGUUCGACGCUGUGGUGAUGGAGGCUCGGCAGCGCCUUGCCGGAUGUGAAACUCUGAGCUGUAGGUGUGAGAAGCUGAUGACAGGCUUGCACAACGACGACGGCACAAUCUUAUAUAUGGGAGCCGAGCUUGGGAGGCAACUUAGAGACACGGUUCCUGACCGAGAACAGCGUUGGAAGGUGCUGGCUGACUUUUGGGCGGAGUACAUACUCUUCCUGGCGCCAUCGGGCAAUGCGGACAUCCAUGCGGAGAUGCUGGCCUCCGGCGGGGAGUUCAUGACCCAUCUCUGGGCGCUUCUCACUCAUGCCGGUAUUCUGGAGCGGCCGUCUUCCUCCUCUGGGUUUGACGCUCCUGGUGGGCUUAAUGGUACCACUGCACAAGACUUCGAGGUUUGA
rnacentral:rRNA from 1 species